UGAUGCCUUAUCUUGGUGGAAAUCUCAUGAAUUGAAGUUCAGUAUUUUGUCGAAAUUAGCCCGUGAUGUUUUAGCUAUUCCAAUUAGCUCCGUGGCAUCAGAAGCCACAUUUAGUGCGGGUACCCGAGUUCUAGAUCCUCAUCGUGCUAAACUAUCUUCUGACAUGGUGCAAGUUUUAAUUUGUGGAGCAGAUUGGGUUCGUCAACUUCAUGGGAUCAAUAAGCCUAUUAUGACAUAUGAGGAAGAAGAACCAAUUGAUGUCAUAUUGCAAGCAUGAUGGCUGGAGAAUAUUUGAAGUUUAAUUGUGAUUGUUAUUGUAGUACUUAAUUUAUGAAUUUGAUUGACUUUUUUUGGGUUGAUGUUGAAACUUAAUUCAAACCUAAUAUUCUUAAUCUAGUAUUUAAUAUAUGAAUUUGAUGAUUGACUUUUUGUUGUUAUUUUAAUGUGAUUCUUGAUUAGUGUAUUAAUAUAAUAUUUUAUGCUAUUUAA